UCCAUCUCCUUCCUCUCUUACUCCACCCCGAGCGCAACCCCGAUCGAGUUCUCCUCCUCAACCGCGCAGCGGAGACGGCCGGCCGGCCGGCCUCAUCGCACCACAUACGCAGCACAGAUCUCCGCCGCGCAACGACGUUACUCUAUAUCAUUCAUGGCGCCCCCGCCGCCGCCUCCCCCCGGCCACGAUCCAGCCGACGAAGCUCCGCCUAUUCGUGUGCUGGUUGUCGACCCCGACGGUGGGAUCUGGAUUGUUUAUAUACGAGACGAGGAAACGCAAUAGCAGGUAUGGAACCUUUCUACACGGCGCUGCUACACAAAGUUGCAUCUGACACCGAUAUAAUCAUACACGGCAGCGCCGUAGCGACCGUAGACAAUCAGAGGACUAUGCACUUAAAAUCCAUGCCCAAGACCAACCUCUCUUCUGCGCAAGAAAUUGGCUUGUAAAAUAAGAACGGCUUGUUUCUGUACUCGUGUUUGCGACAUAUGAACUGCUUGUGAGGCCAUCAGGCUGUGAAGCCAUGUGUACUCUGAAAGUGUGUUCCAAUGUAACAUGCAAAGAAUGGCAAUGUGACUAAUAUAUCUU